AUUGAACGAUGGCGGCAGGCCUAACACAUGCAAGUCGAGCGAGAGGCGGACGGGUGAGUAAUGUAUGGGGACUGCCCGAUAGAGGGGGAUAACUACUGGAAACGGUGGCUAAUACCGCAUACUAUCGGAUAACCCAUAUGGGAUUAGCUAGUAGGUGGGGUAAAGGCUCUCCUAGGCGACGAUCUCUAGCUGUUCUGAGAGGAUGAUCAGCCCCCCUGGUACUGCGACACGGCCCAGGCUCCUACGGAUGCAGCAUUGGGGAAGAUUCGACAAUUGGCGCAAGCCUGAUGCCGCCAGGCCGCGUGUAUGAAGAAGGCCUUAGGGUUGUAAACUACUUUCUGCGGGGAAGCGUUACCCGCAGAAGAAGCACCGGCUAACUCCGGGCCAGCAGCCGCGGUAAUUC
rnacentral:rRNA from 1 species